GUUAAAGGAGCUUCUAUCCUUGCUCUUUGCACGCAUCUUCACCCAGGCUAACAGGGCUUUUACUUAUUCAAUGGGAGAAUGGAGUCUCGGUAAGCCUAAUUGAGAGUACGAUCCUUCACCCCUUUUCAGCCUCUACAGGGUUCACACAUUUCUUCAAUAUAGGUGAGAAUGGACCAAACAGAGAUGGAAGAGAUCAAACACAGAGAUAAGAAGCAGCUAGCCUUCUUAAAGUUUAGCUGGGGGCCGGCGGGUGGGGGGUUGAAGAAAGUGGACGAAAACAGGCUCGCAUUUUAUCAAAACAAAUACAGGAAAAUUAUUGUAUAGAAAACACUCCUGGCCAACUCCUUCCUCUUUAUGUAUGAUUACAAUCUUUAAAAAUCUAACGCGACGCAAGAUAGAUGAUUCAGCGAGAACUUGAGAUGGCUAUUAUUUAUCAAGCUUAUAACUAGUGACAAUAAUAUCAUGACCAUGAUUAGUUGCAUUACAAACAGCUGUCAAAGCAUUUUACCACUGUAUUUCAAGAAUUGAAUGAGGUAGGUAAAGAGGUAUAACCUACCAUAAGAGCCUGAUUCUCUGGAUCAACA
rnacentral:lncRNA from 1 species